rnacentral:rRNA from 1 species
GACAUAGGUGGCAAGCGUUAUUCGGAAUUACUAGGCGUAAAGCGCACGUAGGCGGAUUUGUCAGUCAGGGGUGAAAUCCCGGGGCGUCAACCUCGGAACUGCCUUUGAUACAGCAAGUCUUGAGUUCGAGAGAGGUGGGUGGAAUUCCUAGUGUAGAGGUGAAAUUCGUAGAUAUUAGGAAGAACACCGGUGGCGAAGGCGGCCCACUGGCUCGAUACUGACGCUGAGGUGCGAAAGCGUGGGGAGCAAACAGGAUUAGAAA